rnacentral:sRNA from 1 species
GAGAUGCCUGCAGAUCACGGAUCUGUACUUAAAUGCUUUCAGCCUUACGCCUUGGCUCUUGGAGAAAACCACACUGCCAAAGUUCAGGUAACAGAGUUCAAUGGAAUUUGAUGAAAGUCACCUAAGGGCCUCAUUUUCCUUUCUCUUUCUUUGAACAGACAAAAUGCUAAGAAGUUUGGAAUCAGGUUCCAAUUUCGCCCCUUUGAAAGUGGGUGGAAUUUACUUGCCUCUCCAUUGGCCUGCCCAGGAAUGCUACAGAUACCCCAUUGUUCUCGGCUAUGACAGCCAUCAUUUUGUACCCUUGGUGACCCUGAAGGACAGUGGGCCUGAAAUCCGAGCUGUUCCACUUGUUAACAGAGACCGAGGAAGAUUUGAAGACUUAAAAGUUCACUUUUUGACAGAUCCUGAAAAUGAGAUGAAGGAGAAGCUCUUAAAAGAGUACUUAAUGGUGAUAGAAAUCCCCGUCCAAGGCUGGGACCAUGGCACAACUCAUCUCAUCAAUGCCGCAAAGUUGGAUGAAGCUAACUUACCAAAAGAAAUCAACCUGGUAGAUGAUUACUUUGAACUUGUUCAGCAUGAGUACAAGAAAUGGCAGGAAAACAGC